rfam:Oryza sativa Japonica Group DNA, chromosome 3, cultivar: Nipponbare, complete sequence.
AAAAAGGCAAACCAUGGGUUUCCGUGUCCAACUUUGACUGUCCGUCUUAUAUGAAAUUUUUUUAUAAUUCGUAUUUUUCAUUGUUUGUUAGAUGAUAAAACAUUAUUAAUAUUUUAUGCGUAACUUGUCUUUUUAUUUUUUUUCAUAAUUUUUUCAAAUAAGACGGACGGUCAAACGUUGGGCACGGAAACCAGUGUUUGUCUUUUUU